UAUCUCUGUAGAGUCUGCAUAUCAAUAAGCGGAGGAAAAGAAACUAACUAGGAUUCCCUCAGUAACGGCGAGUGAAGCGGGAAGAGCUCAAAUUUGAAAUCUUCAAGGUUCUACCUUGACGAAUUGUAGUUUAAAGAAGUGUUUUCUGUUGGAGUUUUGGUAAAAGUUCUUUGGAAUAGGACAUCAUAGAGGGUGAGAAUCCCGUAUUUGACCAUUACUUCCAGCGUUGUGAUACACUUUCAAAGAGUCGGAUUGUUUGGGAAUGCAGUCCAAAAUGGGUGGUAAAUUUCAUCUAAAGCUAAAUAUUGGCGAGAGACCGAUAGCGAACAAGUACCGUGAGGGAAAGAUGAAAAGAACUUUGAAAAGAGAGUUAAACAGUACGUGAAAUUGUCAAAAGGGAAGCGUUUGACACCAGUGUUGUUUUUCCGAAAAUCAAUUACGAAUGGCUUGAUUCUGUGUUGUAUUGACCUUAUCAGCUUUCUUCACUUUUUUCGAGUCUUUCUUAAUGCACUUUUCGGUUAACAAGUCAACAUCAAUUUCUUUCGUUGUAAAAGAGUAUUCGGAAGGUGGCUUUCUUUUCGGAGAAAGUGUUUAUAGCCCUAUAGGCUUCUAGCAAUCGGAGAGAUUGAGGUCUGCAGCGUAGAUCCUUCGGGGUUAGAUACACUUGUGCUAAGUUGUAGCUUUUCAUAGACAACUUGUUGACUAUGUUUAGUCAUGCGGCUUACUCGCUUGUGCUAUUUUACCUACGCUUAGGAUGUUGACGAGACUGUCGAUCUC
rnacentral:rRNA from 1 species